rnacentral:rRNA from 1 species
UACGGGGGGGGGCAAGCGUUGUUCGGAAUUACUGGGAGCGUAAAGGGCGCGUGGCGGUUGGAUAAGUCAGCUGUGAAAACCACGGGCUUAACUCGUGGCCUGCAGUUGAGACUGUCUGGCUUGAGUGUGGGAGAGGAGAGUGGAAUUCCUGGUGUAGCGGUGAAAUGCGUAGAUAUCAGGAGGAACACCGGUGGCGAAGGCGGCUCUCUGGACCACAACUGACGCUGAGGCGCGAAAGCUAGGGGAGCAAACAGG